rnacentral:misc_RNA from 1 species
CAACCCUCAAGCGCGGCUUGGUGUUGGGCGCGGCCGCACGGCCCGUCCCAAAGACAGCGGCGGCGCCGCCCGGCCCUGAGCGCAGUACGGCUCUCGCUCCAGGGCCAGCGGUGGCCGGCCGGGACCCCCUCCAC